GUAGUCAUGGUUCAGUGGUAGAACACUCGCCUUCCAUGUGGGAGACCCGGGUUCGAUUCCCAGCCAAUGCU
rnacentral:tRNA from 1 species